CCGAGAGCAUGAAGGGCACUGAUAUGGCUUCUCGCCUGUGUGGGUGCGCAGGUGGACUUUCAGGCCGCUCUUCUGUGAGAAGCUCCGAGUGCAUGAAGGGCAGUCAAAUGGCUUCUCGCCUGUGUGGGUGCGCAGGUGGGCUUUCAGGUGGGGCUUUCGUGAGAAGCUCCGAGAGCAUGAAGGGCAGCCAAAUGGCUUCUCGCCUGUGUGGGUGCGCAGGUGGGCUUUCAG
rnacentral:lncRNA from 1 species